CGGAUGACCUGUGCCUAGGGGUGAAAGGCCAAUCAAACUCGGAGAUAGCUGGUUCUCCGCGAAAGCUAUUUAGGUAGCGCGUCGCGUGUUGACCAUCGGGGGUAGAGCACUGGAUGGGCUAGGGGGGCGCGAGCCUUACCAAACCUAACCAAACUCCGAAUACCGGUGAGUACAGCACGGCAGACAGACCAUGGGUGCUAAGGUCCGUGGUCGAGAGGGAAACAGCCCAGACCUCCAGCUAAGGUCCCCAAGUUACGGCUAAGUGGGAAAGGAUGUGAGGAGGCCAAGACAGCCAGGAGGUUGGCUUAGAAGCAGCCAUCCUUUAAAGAAAGCGUAAUAGCUCACUGGUCUAAACAAGCCGGCCUGCGCCGAAGAUGUACCGGGGCUCAAGCCACCCACCGAAGCUGAGGAUG
rnacentral:rRNA from 1 species